GAUGAAGAACGUAGCGAAAUGCGAUAAGUAAUGUGAAUUGCAGAAUUCAGUGAAUCAUCGAAUCUUUGAACGCACCUUGCGCCCUUUGGCCAUUCCGAAGGGCAUGCCUGUUUGAGUAUCAUGAACACCUCAACUCUUUAUGGUUUUCCAUGAUGAGCUUGGACUCUGGGGGUUUUGCUGGCUCACAGUCGGCUCCUCUAAAAUGAAUCAGCUUACCAGUGUUUGGUGGGUAUCAUGGGUGUGAUAACUAUCUACGCUUGUGGUUUUUCCACCAGGUAACCUUCAGCAGUGGAGGUUCGCUGGAGCUCAUAGAUGUCUCUCCUCAGUGAGGACAGCCCUUUGAAUGUUUGAUCUCAAAUCAGGUAGGACUACCCGCUGAACUUAAGCAUAUCAAUAAGCGGAGUA
rnacentral:misc_RNA from 1 species